GACGAACGCUGGCGGCGUGCUUAACACAUGCAAGUCGAACGGAAAGGCCCUGCUUUUGUGGGGUGCUCGAGUGGCGAACGGGUGAGUAACACGUGAGUAACCUGCCCUUGACUUUGGGAUAACUUCAGGAAACUGGGGCUAAUACCGGAUAGGAGCUCCUGCUGCAUGGUGGGGGUUGGAAAGUUUCGGCGGUUGGGGAUGGACUCGCGGCUUAUCAGCUUGUUGGUGGGGUAGUGGCUUACCAAGGCUUUGACGGGUAGCCGGCCUGAGAGGGUGACCGGCCACAUUGGGACUGAGAUACGGCCCAGACUCCUACGUGAGGCAGAAGUGGGGAAUAUUGCACAAUGGGCGGAAGCCUGAUGCAGCAACGCCGCGUGCGGGAUGACGGCCUUCGGAUUUUAAACCGCUUUCGCCUGUGACGAAGCGUGAGUGGCGGUAAUGGGUAAAGAAGCACCGGCUAACUACGUG
rnacentral:rRNA from 1 species